rnacentral:rRNA from 1 species
UACGGAGGAUGCGAGCGUUAUCCGGAUUUAUUGGGUUUAAAGGGUGCGUAGGCGGAUUUUUAAGUCAGCGGUAAAAUGUCCGGGCUCAACCCGGGCCGGCCGUUGAAACUGGGGAUCUUAAGUGGGCGAGAAGUAUGCGGAAUGCGUGGUGUAGCGGUGAAAUGCAUAGAUAUCACGCAGAACUCCGAUUGCGAAGGCAGCAUACCGGCGCCCGACUGACGCUGAGGCACGAAAGCGUGGGGAUCGAACAGG